UGCCUUUAGCUCCCUUAUCUCACCUCAUUUGCUCACAUUGUAUAUAGACUUAUUUUUCUACUGUAUUAUUGACUAUGCUUGUUUGUUUGUGUAGGCUAUUCCUAGAAGUGAAGAUGGAGAUAAUAGUAACAUAAUAUUCAGUGGGGUGUAAUUUGACUAUAAUUUAGUCUGUUUCUUGGGAGGUUUUCUGUCCUCAGAUAAAGAGGGCUAUGAAAUCCUGUCUACAUAUGAAGAGGUCCCAAUGAAGAGCAGUGGUUCUCAGUCCUGGUCCUGGGGACUCAAAGAGAUACCUUGUAACUGGAGAUUCUUUAAACGAUUGCCUACAGUUAACGUGUAGGGCACUGCAAGGUUGGGUGACCAGGGCCACCUGGGACUGCCUCCUGGAGGAAUUCAGGUGUGUGAAGGCUACCUAUGUCCUGCAUAACUGUUUCAAGGAUGGGGUCCAUCAACGCAGCAAGAGAGGCAAUCUGUGUGCGGGAGAUCUUCACCUCCUACUUUUUCGAAAAGCUGUUCUCUAACACCAUAGACUACACUAUGCACAACCAAAGGCUCUUUUAAGAGCCAUUCACAUUGCAAUAAGAGUAUUCUUCCAUUUACUUAGCUAUGUCAACUGCAGUUAUUCAGUUCCCAAUUUCUCUCCCUUUGAUUUCUACUUCUCAGGUGAUGGUGCUGUUUAGGUAAGGGUGUGAUGUCUGUACAAAAACAAAACAGGCUAUUUUAAAUCACCCAUAUUGAAAAAAUGUAGAACAAGUAGACACCCUAUAACCCACACCGACACACUCAUGUAUCAAUCUGAUUGAUGGAUUGUGUUGCGGAGUAAUGGGGCUCCUUCCACCUUCAUAGAAUAGGCAAGACGGCCAACCAUGGAGAAUAGUAAGACACUUCAUUAUUUCUAUAACUACGCUAUAUUGUUUUUCCUCGUGUGUCCGUUCAUGUUUUUCAGCAUAAAGUACUCUGCGGCCACUUAGUGUGGUGUGGACACCAGGUUAUAUCAGCUGUGUCGGUGAACCCCUCCUGCAUUGGAACUGGCUAUAUAGAGGCCACAGCAUGAUCAGAGAUAUGUUUUGAUGUGAGAGGAUGCCGACCCGCAGACCUAUCAUCACCACCUCACCCACUUUUAAGAUAGCCUUUGGGCUGACUAGAGACUAUUAUGUAAUUGUGAUGAACUGAGAGAAUAUUUGGGUUGCACUGUGAUUCAUUAAUCAUAUGCUGCCUUCCCUGCUCCUAUAUUCUUACCUCUUUCCCUUUCUGUCUUUUACACCUCUCUCACCACCUCUUUCUUCAUCGGUUUUUAUAAUGCACAAGAGAUGUGCAUUGAAGUACAGAUUGAACUUGUAUUUAUAAUGCAUGUAUUUAUAACACUUGGAUAAUGAACUUCUUUCAACAAUGCGUUUCACAUUCUCUACUGGUUGAAAUUAAGUCUCAUUUGAUGAAACACUACACCUAACCUGUUUAACAGAUGCAGAUGAAGGGCAUUAGAUAUUGACAUGAACCGGUUUUAGAGUAUUUACAUGAUGCAUAGGAAGUGUAGUGUACUGUUUUUUAAAUUCUAUUUCUGUAUAUAUGAAUUACAAAUCAGCCUUUUAAUUAGUUAAA